UACGUAGGGUGCAAGCGUUGUCCGGAAUUAUUGGGCGUAAAGAGCGUGUAGGCGGCCCGAUUAGUCCGCUGUGAAAGUCCAGGGCUCAACCCUGGAAUGCCGGUGGAUACUGUCGGGCUAGAGUCCGGAAGGGGCGAGUGGAAUUCCUGGUGUAGCGGUGAAAUGCGUAGAGAUCAGGAAGAACAUCGGUGGCGAAGGCGCUCUGCUGGACCAUAACUGACACUCAGGGACGAAAGCUAGGGGAGCGAAUGGG
rnacentral:rRNA from 1 species